rnacentral:rRNA from 1 species
GACGAACGCUGGCGGCGUGCCUAAUACAUGCAAGUCGAACGCAGUGGGGACGGGUGAGUAACACGUGGGUAACCUCCCAUCAGAGGGGAUAACACUUGGAAACAGGUGCUAAACCGAUAAUGCUGGAUGGACCCGCGGGGCAUUAGCUAGUGGGUGGGGUAACGGCUCACCAAGGCCACGAUGCAUAGCCGACCUGAGAGGGUGUUCGGCAACACGGGAACUGAGACAGUGCCCAGACUCCUACGGGAGGCAGCAGUAGGGCAUCUUUCGCAAUGGACGAAAGCCUGACCGAGCAACGCCGCGUGUGUGAAGCAGGUUUUCUGAUCGUAAAACACUGUUGUUAGAGAAGCGGUAUCUAACCAGAAAGCCACGGCGCACUACGUGCCAGCCGCCGCGGUAAUAC